AUUGAACGCUGGCGGCAUGCCUUACACAUGCAAGUCGAACGGCAGCGGACCUUCGGGUGCCGGCGAGUGGCGAACGGGUGAGUAAAGUAUCGGAACGUACCUUUCAGUGGGGGAUAACUGUCCGAAAGGACAGCUAAUACCGCAUAUUCUGUGAGCAGGAAAGCAGGGGAUCGCAAGACCUUGCGCUGAUUGAGCGGCCGAUAUCAGAUUAGCUAGUUGGUGAGGUAAAGGCUCACCAAGGCGACGAUCUGUAGCGGGUCUGAGAGGAUGAUCCGCCACACUGGAACUGAGACACGGUCCAGACUCCUACGGGAGGCAGCAGUGGGGAAUUUUGGACAAUGGGGGCAACCCUGAUCCAGCCAUGCCGCGUGAGUGAAGAAGGCC
rnacentral:rRNA from 1 species